UUUUUUCUUAUCGAAACUGGAGUGGAGCCUUUAUAUUUUACAUCAUUUUUUCUUGUUCUGUUUCUGUUUUUCUGUUUUUAUAUUUUUUUCCUGCUUCUAUUUUUUUCCUACUUUUAUUUUUUGAUCAGUAUUUAGAAAAAUUAUAUUAAGUUAUAAUUUUAUUUUAUUUUAUUUCAGUUCUUUUUUCUUAAUUAAUUUUUUUUACUAUGCUUCGAUUAAGUUAAAAAACAUCAGAGCUGGAAAUGGAAGAGAAGUUAUAACUAAAUUAUCACUGUUUUGAAUUAAUAGCCUCUGUUUUUAGAAGUGCUUCUAUUGAAUGAAUAUAAGUAUAUAACCAUAUUUCACUUGAUAGUUCUUGAACUGUGAAUUAAAACCAAAAAAAGGUGUGAAUGGAAGAAUAUUUGAAUACGGGAAUGGAGCUUGAAUUAAGAAUGAGUGUGGAAAAGAGGGAGGACUUGUACAGGUGGGAGGAGUUAUGGCACAUAUUCAUUCUCAAGGGUCGGUUGUGUUCGGGUAACCAUCGCUGCUGGUGCUUUCGUUUCCCUAUUAGUUUAGCAAUAUGCUUAAUAUAGAAUAAAAUACCAGUUUUCUGUGUUGAUAAGAUAACGUUUUUUUUUUGUUCAAUCUAUGCAUCUAUGCUUAAUAUAGAAUAAAAUACAGUGCUUUGUGAUUCAGAAAAGCUAUUGUUAUAUGUAAUUACACAACUAAACAAUAACUUAAGAUAUUUCUUAUUCAUUGUGUUUAUGAAUUAUAUCUUAUAAUUUUUUUGUGUUGGGGUUUAGAUGGGUGUUAGUAAAUUAAAUUAAAUUAAAUUUUUUAGGGUUUGAAAAUGUGAAAGUAAUUAAUUCACUUUUAUAAUUUUUUUAUGUAUAAAAAACAAUACCCCCUAAAAUUCUUAGUUCUGCCCAAGGUUAUUAAAAACACGUUUUGACUCGUAAAAGCGUACGAUUUUACGAGUCAAAACAUAUAAAACAUGUGAAAUCAGGUUAAAAACCUGAAAACCAGUAAAAUUGAAUCAAACUCGGUCAAACUUGUACAAAAUCGGUCCAACUCGUUAAAAUCUGUAAAACCGACCGAUUGCACGAGUUUGCUUAAAAAAUUAAAAGUCUUCUGACUCUGCUCCCUGCUGACUCCACUCCAUCUCCUGAUUUCAUUGCGCCCGACACCGACACUCCACCCACCCUUUUCUCCUUUCCCUUUUCCCCUUUCCUGGUUUCCCCAAAUCUCAAAUUCUCAAAAUCUCAAGUCUCAGCCCUAACAAAUUAAUAUCAGCAUUCAGCACAUUCAGGAGCGUAGAAUCUCAAGUCUCGACUCUCCACUCACCAGCAGCGCAAAUAUAUAACCAGGGAUUGAGUCUUUAUCAAGAGCCAAAAGAAAAACAAAGGGCCUUGCUGGGAUGAGCAACGUGUCAAACUGUUGUUAAAGCAAAAGGAUUAAGAUUGGAAUUUUUUAUGGGUUGCCCAUUCCUCCUGACAAAGCAGUAGAUUUCAUAUUUACAAUCCAAGAAAAAGCCCACUCCAGGCAAAGUAUUUAUUUCUCGAGACCAAUAGGCAAAAGCAAAAAAAAAAAAAAAAACACUAACAACAGCUAGGAAGUCAAAAAAAUGGGGAAGAAGCAAAAACGCAACAGUGACAGUGACGAAGAUGAAAUAUUUUACCACCGCUACUCCUCCGCCACCACAUCAUCACAACACCCACCUUCCUCCACCAAACCCCACGGCGGAUCCGGCGGUUUAGCACCAUCAAAAUCAACCCUGUACGUAUCCAAUUUGGACUUCUCCCUUACAAACUCAGACCUCCACACACUCUUCUCCACCUUCGGCAAAGUAGCACGUGUAACUGUCUUAAAAGACCGAACAACACGGAAAUCGCGCGGUGUCGCAUUCAUCCAAUUCGUAUCUCGCAGCGACGCGGUCACCGCCGUUGAACAGAUGGACAAGAAGAUUCUCAAUGGGAGAACUCUGUCGGCGUCGAUUGCGGCAGAUAAUGGUAGAGCGACGGAGUUUAUUAAGAAGAGGGUUUAUAAGGAUAAGAGUAAGUGUUAUGAGUGUGGAGAAGAUGGACAUUUGAGUUAUGAGUGUCCGAGGAAUCGAUUGGGGAUUAGAGAGAGGCCUGUGGUGAAGAGAGGGAGGGGAGGCGGUGGUGGAGGAGGUGGCGGCGGCGGAAGGGGCGGGGGAGAUUGGGAGGAGGAGGAAGAAGAGGGCGAGUUUGAGGAGGAGAAGUGGGCUGCGGCGGUGGAUGGAGGGGUGGAGGAGAGGUUGUUGAAGGGGGGAGAGGUGGAGAAAAAGAAGGUGAAGGUUAAGAAAGCUAGUUACUUCAGUGAUGAGAGUGAUGAAGAGGAGUGAUUUCUGGGAUUCUUUUUGGAGUUACCAUGUUUUGGUGAGGGAGGGAAGGAGGUUAUAGCAUGUUAUUACUGAUACUGGAGAUUAUCUUCUUAGAGUUUAAAAAGAACACUGGCUAGUGUUAGUGAAAAACAGAGGAUUCAAUUUGAUCAUCUGUGAUUGAUAUGGCAUUUGUUGCGUCUUAGGUUUUUUUGUUAUGACUUGUGGAUGACAGUUGUGUUCUGUUUUUUUGAUGGAGGAGCAUCUUUAUGCUGGUUAGUGUUACUGAAACUAUUUUUGAGAUUGAUGUUCUUGGAUUGUGAGGGAAAUGCUGGUGAAUCAGCUGUGACAUUUGCUCAUCUGAUAUUCCAUGGAUAGAUGUUCAUUUUGAUAACAUUAGCUUCCAAGACAUUUAGCAAGCAGGGAGAAAAAGUUUCCCCCUGUUUUUGUGACUGAAUUGAUGGUUUCUGCUCUUUGCUUAGAGCUUUCUACCAACUUUCUUGUCUGGCGAGAGGUUGGGGGUGGUUCGUUCUUGCUGCAAAGUUAGAAGAGCUGAAGCCCAGAGAGGAAACCAAGAAAUAUGUACUUGUCACGUUAAACAUGAGAAUUGACUGUGAGAUAGAAGUAAAUUUGUUUUUUUACUCUUUUAUUUUUGUCAAGAAAUAUGUAUUUGUAACACAUGGAGUGCGAAGAUCAGUAUAAAGACUUCCUAGAUUUUUUCACCAGUGCCCACGACCUUUUGUUGCUUGUACAGAGCUUGAAAAUAUUUUAUAGCAAUUGCAGCUACUUGCAUGGUUCAGGAAAAUAUUCCUUUGGAAGUGAAGUAAAUAUGUAUCGUUUGUUGAGUCAUUAGCAUUUGCAUUUAGAGGAACAAACUUUGAAUCUUCGUCAUUUAACUCACUGGGAAUUCCUGCGUGGGACAAGCGAAGAACUUUCAUUCAAACGUUACUAUGAAGAUGUAAACCUGAACUGUGUUGGGCUUGUAUGAUAUGCACAAGAUGCCUUCGCAUAUUCGAGAUAUCAAUAAUCUUCUAUGAAGAUUUAAAGAGCUGGGAAGGUAUCUUGGGCUGGCCUUUGUAGUCAUUUAUCUGGGCUCUAAUAUGGGCUGUGUUCCUGGUGAGUGGGAGAUUAUUAUCCUACCAGGCUUUGUUGAGUUCGGCCUCUCUCAAAUAAACCCAAUUUACUUUUGAAAUAUCUACCGCAGAACUUGGCUGUCGUCAGCAUUGCACCCGUUUGUGCAACCUGUCUAGAGGAUUUGUAAUCUGGGCCACACAUAUACAGGGAGAGUUCAAAUGCUCUGAACCGUACAAACAUGCACACAGUAUUUGUAACUGCUUUUGAGCAUGCGAAUCAUGCUCUUGUGUGAAAAUUGUGAAGUUAGUUUGUCUUGUUCCUUUGGAGUUUAGAGAGUCUAUAAAUAUCCGGUGGUUGGUUCGAGACAAAGCCUGUGGUAAAGGCAAAGCCUGUUGAAGCCUCAAAGUCAAGAGUGUGUUGUGUGUGAAAAUUGGAGGGAACUAAAGAGAUGUCACUGUUUGUUUUGGUGCCGAUUUUUGUUUAGUUUCUUUUACUUGAUUCUUCUCCAACAUGCAACUAAACGAAUAUCAUGUCUUGGCCGAAUGUCAGAGGCGAUCGUUUUUCAGAUCAAUAGUCGUUAGCAUUCCGAGAGGAGCCACCUUGGCUGCAGCCAGAAUUGUGAAGAGUGUAUAUCUUGUCGAAGCUCAAAGGGAGAGUCUUGUGUUGAAUUUCUUCCAUCGGAGGGGAGAAUUGCAAAUUUACUUCCAGUUGGAGUCUUGUCGUUGAUCACACAUAUAGUUGAAUUCUGUAUGUCUGAUUUAUCAGCAAUAUUGAUACAGACAUGAUAUAUGAGAAUGUACUGUGAAAUAUGUAUCUGUAAUGCAUUGAAUAGAAAGAUCAGUAUAAACUUUUAGAUUUCAGUUUUGUGUGUAA